rnacentral:rRNA from 1 species
GCGUAAGGGCUCGCAGGCGGUUUCUUAAGUCUGAUGUGAAAGCCCCCGGCUCAACCGGGGAGGGUCAUUGGAAACUGGGAAACUUGAGUGCAGAAGAGGAGAGUGGAAUUCCACGUGUAGCGGUGAAAUGCGUAGAGAUGUGGAGGAACACCAGUGGCGAAGGCGACUCUCUGGUCUGUAACUGACGCUGAGGAGCGAAAGCGUGGGGAGCGAACAGGAUUAGAUACCCUGGUAGUCCACGCCGUAAACGAUGAGUGCUAAGUGUUAGGGGGUUUCCGCCCCUUAGUGCUGCAGCUAACGCAUUAAGCACUCCGCCUGGGGAGUACGGUCGCAAGACUGAAACUCAAAGGAAUUGACGGGGGCCCGCACAAGCGGUGGAGCAUGUGGUUUAAUUCGAAGCAACGCGAAGAACCUUACCAGGUCUUGACAUCCUCUGACAACCCUAGAGAUAGGGCUUUCCCUUCGGGGACAGAGUGACAGGUGGUGCAUGGUUGUCGUCAGCUCGUGUCGUGAGAUGUUGGGUUAAGUCCCGCAACGAGCGCAACCCUUGAUCUUAGUUGCCAGCAUUCAGUUGGGCACUCUAAGGUGACUGCCGGUGACAAACCGGAGGAAGGUGGGGAUGACGUCAAAUCAUCAUGCCCCUUAUGACCUG